rnacentral:sRNA from 1 species
CUCUGUACGGGAAGGAUGAGAAGCUUCGACUAAGGUUCGAUUCGAGCGUCAGCGAGAAAGCGUUGCCGCAGGCAACGACCCGAAGGGCGAAGCGCGCAGCGCUGAGUCAUCCUUCCCCCACCACCA